CCCGCCUCCUACACACAGGUGGAUUCUUAGUUGGGCUCACAGCUAGCAUCUCGAAUUUUAAGUUCCCGUAUGUGGAUGGACACACACACACACACACACACACACACACACAACUGUACAUGCAUUGUCUCUUUGACUAUAUCCAUGAACACAUACAUGCAGCAUUCUAUACACAUUUAAUACCUAACAUUGCCUUUGUAUCAGCAUUUUCACCGUUUUGCUUGAAUGGUCUUACACUGUUUUGAGGUCAGGUCCGCUCAAUAAUCUCACUUUACAGAUGUGGAGACCAAAGUUCUGCAAGAUUCAAGAUAGCUGUCCCCAAGAACUAUGCCAGGACCAACUGAGCCUAUGUGUCUGUAAAUCCCACGUGUGCUUCACCUGAAUCACUAAACCAGGUGUGGUGGGACAUGCCCGUAAUCCCAGCACUAAGAAGGCAGAGGCAGGAGGAUCACUGUGAGUUUGAGGCCAGCCUGGUUUGCCCUGUCUCGAAAAACCAUAAACAAAAGCUCUCUCUCUCUGAGUGUGUGUGUGUGUGUGUGUGUGUCCACAUACUACUUGGGAGAAACAGCUCUAGUCCUGACUACCUUCAAAUGUCAUCUCUUCUAUGAAUUCCAUUCUAUUCGAUUCUACCCUACUCUUCUAAAGCCAGGUUCACUCUAAUUUCACGUGAACAGUUACAGCGUCCAUCACGUUUGUUCUGUGACCCCUGAGGAUCAUUGAGACAUCAGAGCGCGCUCAGUGGAUGGUGUCAGUGCUGAGUCCUGAUCUUAAAAUACCAGGCUUCCUCUGUGGCUUCAGAUGAGGCUCUUUACUUCUCUGGGAUUCCCCUUCAUAGAACCUGUCCGCCAUGGGCUGUUACAGAAUGGCCUGGAGGCCCAGACCUUCCCUUCCCAGAGCCACCACAGAUUUAGACGAGGUGGCCGCCCCCCGUGUGAGUUGACAUGUACACGGCCUAUGUGUGAUGCCGGGGAAACCCAACAGAUGGCCUGGCAAGCAUCCACCCUGGCUCCCAGGGUGCACUGUUUGUGGCAGCACAGGGCACAAGGAUGACAUGGUUUCAAGCUUGGGAGGGAGCACUUGAUCUGGCUGAAACUCCCAUUCUCUUAGGGAAAAUGUUAAUUUUAUUCCUUCCCUCCUCUUGUCUUUCUCCGUGUGCUAAUCUCUUCUUGGGUUUAGGGAAGACCAAGGCAAGGCCAUUUUGAUUGAGGUUAAGAGGUAUAUAUGGACAGAGAAAUGCAGAGACUAAGUCACGGGUCAGAAUUGUCUGUACAAAUGGAUGAUGCCUAUGCUCUGAUCCCUGCUGGGUCACUAAGUGACUGCAUGAGCGUAGACCCAACAGCUUCCCUGUCUGUGCGGACGGGACGGGAGGCACUGGCUGGGUCCCAUCCAUAAGCCUUCUGGGAAAUGAGAUGAUACAGUUGAGACAGGAAGAGAGAACAAGUUUUAGGGAGAACCUCCCAGUGAAUGGCGCAGGAGUCCUGGAGAGUGGGAAGUACUUCGUUUUUGAUAAUUCGGGGAGCCAGUCGUUCUUCAAAGCCUGGCCGUCUGCACUUGUUUAUUGCCUGCCGUGGGGCUCAGCCUUCCUAAGUGGCUUGUCUAGGGUGGGGAUGUUUGUGGGAGAUCUGCCCACCUAAAGUGUCAUAGAAUUGUCAAAGCACGGGGCUGGAGGGAUGGCUCAGCAGUUAAGAGCACUGGCUCUUCUUCCAGAGGACCCAGGUUCAAUUCCUAGCACCCACAGGGCAGCUCAAAACUGUCUGUAACUCCAGUUCCAGGGGAUCUGACACCCUCACACAGACAUGCAGGCAAAAUAACACUGCACUAAUGUACAUAAAAUUAAAAAAAAAAUUGUCCUAGCAGGCCAUCCAUGUGCAUUGACUAAUGUCAUCAAUAAGGAUGCCAGAGGACACAUGGCUUCCUUGGCUCUCACAGAGAACCUGAGACUCAGAACUGUCAUGCUUGUUACUUCCAAGAUCCCAAAGGUCAGGCCAGCUCUGACUCUAGGGAUAGUCUAGGAGUGUAUCCAGGCCUCCUACCUCUGUGACAUUGAAUGAGGCAGUAGAAGGAUGGUCCAUCUCUCCCAGCUUCAAGGCAUCACAGGCCAACCCUGGCCAGGGAAAUACACUUCGUCUUUCAUCCUGCAUGUAUUAGUCAGCUUCUUGUGGCUGUAACAAAACAUCCGAGCAAAGCCAACUUUAUAAAGCAAAGAGGUCUAUUUGACUCCCAGUUUUAGAGCUUUCAAAAUUCAAAAAAGCAUGACACAGGCUGUGGUGAAGGACACAUGGCAGAUGGCGGGAGCGUGUGUGGGAGGAAGGAUCACACCUCAGAGCGAGAUGGAGCUGGGCUUGUAUAACAGCCUUCCCACAAGAACUAACCAGGGAUCCAUGAGGAACGUCUCAGCUCUUCUUAGGAAGGCACAUCCGAGUGUACCUGAAAAUCCUCUUCUAGAAGCAGCCCCAUUUGUGCAUGCAUACAUGUGUGCCCUGUGGACAUACGUGUUUGCAAGUAUUCUGGUGAACGUGUAUAUAAACAUAUGUGUGCAAAGGUCAUACGUCGACACUGGGAGCCUUUCUUGAUUGAUUCCCACCUUCCCAAUUAAGGCAGGGUUUCUCAUUUGAACCCAGAGCUUGCCAGUACAAUCAAUCCAGCUGGCCAGGAUGCUCCAGGGAUGCCCUGUCUGCCUGCACCUGGUGUUUCCAUGGGCGCUGGGGGUGUGGACUCUGGUCUUCGUGCUCACAAAUUCUUGGCCCACAGAGCCAUCCCUCCAGCUCCUAGAUUCCUUCCUCUUAAAGGUGCCCCCAGGACUUCCCAACCCUGCCACCCUGAAGACCAAACUCCCAACACACCAUCCUCUGGGUGACAAGAACAGCUCUCUGCGCCACUAUUUCUCUCACACACGGACGGCUUCCCUUAUCGGGAGGUGUGGGUAGGAAGAAGUGCUCCUAUGAGUUGUCUGACGAUCCCAUCUCUUCUCAGCAACCUCCCCUCUCUGGGAGGGAUGACCAAGCUGUCAGGCUGGUGACCUUUGCCCCCCCCACUCUCACCUGGAAUAGAGGGAGGCCUGAGGGUGUCUUGGAAUGCUGAGGCACACAGGAUGAGCCUUUGUUUUGCUUGUGCCUGGGGCCAGCACCCCAUCAGAAAUCACUUGGAAUCUAAUUUUGUAACUGCGCAUCGAAUCCACGGUCUGAAAGAGCCUUUGACGAGUCCUCUUGCUCCCUCUGCCUUAUUAGACAACCCAGCCCCUGCUGAUGAGCAGACCCCCUGCAGACACAAAAUGCCAUGCUACCCAAGAGCCACAGUGGACUCUGGGGACCUCUGCCCGCAGGCAUUCUCUCCCUCUAUCCCUGAACCAGGGUAUUCUGCCACCCUUGUCAGGGAUGGAAUGGGGGUGGGGGUCCCUGCAUUCUUCUUGCAGAGGGGAAAGGAGUAGCCACAGAUGGUCACAUUGCAGCAAGAAGGGCCUGCAUUCCCAGAGGCUUCUGAGAGCUGCCUUUGAGAAGGGAGCAAGCGUGCCUCCGUUUCCUUCGCCCAGGUGCUGGUAGGGGAGGCGGAGGCACAAGUGAAACCAGUUCUCACCCUAUGUGCCUCAGCAUUCCAGCACCUGUGAUGCACCCCACACUUUUAGAAGGCAUUCACUCAGUGCCGGGGCCUGUGUCUCAGGAGAGAGAAGGGCACCCGUAUGCCCCUGACCACGUGACCCACGGCGACGGCCCACAGACAUACUGCCUGCCGUCUAUUCUGGAGAAGCGCUGUAUGGCCUCCUCGCUAUUUUGAGCAGGAGAACUUUGCGGAAAGUUCCAGUGCCUUAGAGGAGGAAGCGUUCACUCACACCGCCUUCCCUGCGGUUGCCGCAGUGCGAGCAGCCCUGUUGGCCUGCACUCAGGUCAGAGCAGGCACUGCAGACCGAGAAGCUGGGUGCCGUUCGCUCCGCUCUGGGAGAAAGGCCAAUCACCUGGUUGGUGCAGAGGAAAUGCCUCUGCCAGAGUGCCCUUCCCCAGUUCAAGCCCCUAACCAUAGGACAUGGUACUCACUACCAUUGAUUCAUCUGGGAACACAAAGCGUGCACUUGACUCCAGAGGCAAGUGGGCGCUCUCUGGUCUGUGGGAGAUGGUGCCGCUGGCCUGGACCACUGACAGUGAAGCCGCCUCUCGGCUACUAAGUGGAGGAAAUGGGGCUGGCGUGUGGCCCUCUGUUUUCAGGAUGCCUGACCUCUGUGCCAGCUUUACCUACAGGAGAGCCUAGCUGCCUGCACUCACCCAGGCUGUUUGCAGUGGUCCCUGUCAUUGACCUCUGCCGAGCCCUGCUCUUCCCACUGCUGUGAAUCCAAAUGAAGUUAGGGACUGAAGAAUAAAACACAGCAAAAGAGAAAAGCCUGUGUGUGUGUGUGUGUGUGUGUGUGUAGGGGGGUGGUUAUCCCAUCAAGACUGAGUUAGUCCUACCAAACCCUUGAAAGCAUCUGGGGACAAAUUUGACUUCAGGGACACAGUCUAGCUUCCUUUUCACCCACCCUUGUUUCUUAAGGACAGUGGAGCAGCCAGAAUUGCCCCUCUGGGCGCUGGGAGAAAGGGUAGACUUUCAAAGGGAAGGGACUGAGACCAGAGCACCCUCAGUCUGUGCAGAUCCCAGAGAACACGAGCUGCUUCCUUCACGUCUACCCGCAGAGACGAGGUACCCAGGACCAGAGGGUGCCGGCUGCUUCCAUACUACCUGAGUGAACGCAGGGCCUGAAUGUGCUCGGCUCCUCAGUCAGGGUCGGGCCUCCACCUUGGUAGGCUGGCUUCUAGAAUUAGAGGAGAGAAGACAUGUUUGGCAGUCGGUUAUGUUUGUGUGCGUGUCAACGUGCCCUGGGGUUCGACCACCAUCUCUAAGCCUCAGAUGUCACCCCUUCCCGAAUCCUUGGUCUCAUGAUUGGCAAAGGCCAGAGCACCUGUGUCGGACUCCCAACCUGAUCACGUUUCGGCUGACUAAUGUCAACUGGUUAUCCGCCCGUUCUUACUCAGCCCCUUGACCUGAAAGUGUGGCAUGACAAUGCUUAUCCCCUGCCUUAAGGUGCCUGAAGGACCAGUGAGCGCCAAGGACACAGGCCCCCCAGGACUGUUCAUAGACUAGCCAGGAUCCCACAUGUUCCAGGGUAGACGGGGAGGCUGCUUCAACUCAGCCCACAGGCCUAGUCCACCCCUCGGCAGCUUCCUGAUUGGUUACCCUGCCUCCUUCGCUGGGCAGCAGCAGGGUGUAGGGAGCCAGCUCAAGACUGCUCUCCACUCUGGUGAUGCUGCUUGGAGUCAGAGCACAGAGAGGGGCUCACGAAACAAGGAAGGCCUACUUCCUUCUCCAUCUCACCCUACACACCUAGGGCAAUGGCCCGAGAUGACUCUUUCAUGCCACCGACCCCCCUCCCCCCGCCCCCACGUGGUACCUCUGCGGCUAUCCCUGAGUUGGAUGGAUCUUGGCAGAGCCAUUCAGCAUUCUGCUCAGCCUGAUGCCCAAGGUGCCUUUGCAGCCAGUAUAGCAGAGUGGCUGGUGUUGCCUUGAAAAUACGGGACGCAUCUGCCCCCUAGUGGCAGGGUCAGGAGCAACUGCCGCUGCUUCCUGCUAGGCUUCGCAGCCUGGUGGCCAGACUUGAAGACCUUGGCAUUGGGUUAGCACGCGAUACAGACCCAAGCUGUGCCGCGAGGUGGGGGACACACUCUAGGGUCCUAGUCUUGGGUUUCACCCACACACUUAUUUGCUAAUAUGAAAAUAUGGAUUGCCUUCAUGCGAGAGUAUAGCUGAGACAGACUAAGAGUGAUUCUGGCAGUCUGACACACAGACCUAGUCACUGAAAAGUGAAGCUGGGCGACCAUGCACACAGAAGCACCUCCCAAAGAACUGAGAAGCAGGAAAGAGACCACAGGGUCACGCAGCUGCUUCUGCCUCGGACUCUAGAGGCUGCUGUAUACAAAGUAAGAUCCUCGUGUGAAGCCUUCACUCUUAAGGAGCUGCCCAGGCUGAAGGGUGACCUUUACAGUAAACGAUGCUGACAGCUCCACACCUUCCCAUGCAGAGGAGUGAAACUGGACCCCUGAUACCAUGUGCAGAAAUAAAGUCAAGAUACAUAGAGACUUCAGUGUAAACCUCGAAAGUGUCAGCCUAAUAAGGAAAAAAAAGGGGGGGGGGUUCCUUGACCUUCAUCUAUCUAGGCCAGUAGUUCUCAGCUUUCCUAAGGUGCAGCCCUUUAAUAUAGUUCCUCAGGUUGUGGUGAACCCCCCACCACCAUGAAAUUAUUUUCAUUGCUACUUCAUAACUGAUUUUGCUACUGUUGUGAGUCAUCAAACAAAUAUCUGACAUGCAAUCCCUGUGAAAGGGUGGGUCCACCCUCAGAGGGGUCUCAAGCCACUCGUCUAGGCAAUGGAUGUUGCCUCCAGACAAGGGUAGCAAGUGAAGAGACAAACACAUUGUAUCAAACUGACACCCUUCCACAGACAGGAAACAAGGAACAAAGUGAAGAGACAGACUGCAAAACAAGAGGGAAAAAAAAAACAAAACCCUGCAGCUGUAAAUUGCUAAGGUCUACUUUCUGCAGCGGGAAGGGAACACAGUAAUUUUAACCCUGGCCAAAUGGGCAAAUUGUGAGCCAUCCGUGAAUGUUCUGAUGAUGCGUAGAAGAGGUGACAGAGAUGUGAAUUAGAUGGAUGUAUUCAUCAUUUCACAACACACACACAUAUAUCCAAGUAUCGUAUUGGACACUUGAAAAAUAUACUUUAAGAAAUCUGGAGAACUGAAAAUCCCCUUUUGUUUUUCUCUAAAGCUACACAGAACAAGCCUAGGUAGGCCUGGAGUUGUCAUUCUAGCCAGUGUGGUAUUUGCUGGGGGCUCAAGCAGGACUCCUAAACUCUCCCUUCCCUUAGAGAUGCAGGGAGCUUUCACUGUCAUUAGCCAGGCUUUGAUUCCCAGCUCUGUUCACAUUCUGUGUUGAUGCGGGGCCCGUAAUUAAACACCCUAGUCAGAAGAGACAGGGAAGCAGGGCGCUAGAUAUUUAGACCCUGCCCCCUCUACUUAGUAGCCCUGUGACCUUGGUCAUGUCAUUGAAAAAAAAAUCCCUGUUUGUCACCUCAAGCCAUGCUCCUGGGGCUCACGGGUCACAAGUGAACUGGAGCACACGGCCCCUUGGGCUUUCCGCUGCCAUGUGGGGCUCUGUUCCAGCCAAGAUGAUGGCCUGGCUUCUGGAAAGGUGGCUCAAAGACACCUCUCCUUUUCUUAAAGGGAGAGAAUAAGCCCUUGCACUUGACACCUCUCACUCAGCUCCAACUGUGUGCUCCUGUGUCUCGAUCAUCCGGAGCUACACAACCUCAAGUUGAAUGACGUAGGAAGACGGCAUCAUGCUUCCCUUGAGUUCCCAGGCUGUGUGGAGCUGGAUGGGGCAAGUUUUCAGCUUGAUCCGACUGUUGCCAGGGCAAGAAACAUCCACAGUGGUAUCUCCAUGCACAUGCCUGGCCCUCUGCUCGGGUGUGGAACCAGCUAGGGACUGGCCAGGCAUAUCCCCUCUGAUGGUGGCUCCACCUGAGUCACUGAACCUUUGAUGUGGUGGCUCAAGGCUGCCAGAGCUACACAAGGUCUUCAGGGCACUGCUCACCAAUGUGUAUGUGCUCGUGACAUUCUGAUUAUGUCAUGUUGGCCAAUGAAGGUCAUAUGCCUAAUCGAACCAGAAGCUGACCCCCCUCAAAAACAGACAAACAAACAAACAAAGAAAUCCUGGGAAUUGUGACACUGGGUGCCACUGCAUUAACACGUGACAGCAGCCAAUUACAAUGCUGAUGUGAGGGAACCAUCAUAAAGUGGUCUGGCUAUUUUUCAUCCCAAGGAGAUUUAAGAUCCAGGAUGUAUUUUCAGAGGGGGGGGGAUUGUCCUAUGCAUAAAUGAUUUUCAGUUAUGAAAUUCUAAUGCUAGUUUUCUUUGCUAGAAUUUCUAAUGCUAGAAAUUCUAAUUCUAGUUUUCUUUCUGCUGCUGUGAUGAAAACCCUGAAGGAAGGAAAGAAAGAAAGAAAGAAAGAAAGAAAGAAAGAAAGAAAGAAAGAAAGAAAGAAAGAAAGAAAGCUAACCAUGGGGGGGAGGAAGGGAAGUUUUUAUGCUCAUAAUUCCAGGUUAUAGUCCAUCAUUACACAGAGGUCACAGUGGAAAUGGCUUGAAACAGCUGCUCAUGUCACACCCGCAAAUAAGAGCAGAGAAAUGGAUGAAUGAAUGUCCACUUGUUUGACUGUUUGCUUGCUUUAGUACGAUUUCUUCACUCUUUUCCAGUUUAGGCCCUCCUUUCUGCCUAAGGAAUGGUGCUACCCACAGUAGACCCUGUCUUCCCACAUCUAUUAACUUAAGUAAGGCAACCCCCACCCCAGGCCGACCCAAUGUAGACAAUCCCUCUCUUCUCAAGUGACUCCAGGUUAUGUCAGAUUGACUGUCAGAUUGACAAAGGUGACCGUCACAGCUUCCCUAACUUGAUGUGUCAGCUAAUAACAACAACGAAAAAGAGAGAUAAGCAGCUUUCUCGUUCUGCAGCUUUAGGAGCUGGUUCCCCCAACUCCAUCUUUCAGGCUGACAUCCAUUUACAAUAGUUCACUCCUUCAUCCCUCCUGGGAUGUCUGUCCUCACCCUACACUUUAUCAUCCAUCUUUCCUCUCAAAAGUGUCAGUGGGAGAAAGGCCACAGUAAGGACACCAGUAAUGAGGUCUAUGAUGGUAUGAGUGCCUCAAGUUGUCAGGUUGCUUGUCUCUAAACUCAAGCUCUAGAAUAAUAAUAAUUGAGAAAUAAUUCAAUGUCCAAUGUUAGCCUGGUAGUAUCAUUAUUUCUUUUGUUUUUAAAAUUAACUUAUUAUUUUAUAUGUAUGUGCAUGUUUUGGCUGCAAGUUUAUGCACCACAUGAGUGCCCAUUGUCCCUAGAGGCCAGAAAAAGGUGUCAGGUUCUCUGAAAAUGGAAUUAUGGAUAGGUGUGGUAAUAAUGAUGCAUGAGAACAAUUAAUAAUAAUGAUAUUAGUAGUAGUAGAAAGAGGAGGAGGAGAAUUCCCAGGCAUCAAUGUUAGUGUUUUUGCUAUAUAUUUCUCAUGUAGAAGCAUGGAUUAAUCAGACUCCCCAGACCAUUAACCUGCCUUUGUCUUAUUUUAUGUAUGAAUAUGCUUGUCUUUUUUUGGUUCCCACCUGUCAUGGGCACACAAGCUCACAGGCUUGAUGUACAUCUUCUUACAUAGAUGCACCCCUCCAAAGCAUGGAUUGCAAUCUCACACACAACAUGCUGAGUCUACAGAAAGGUAGAUACAGAAACAGCCAAAUUUAUAUGGAUUUUAGGCCCACCCAUGGCUAGAGAUGUGGUGGGGCAUGAUAUUAACCUCAAUGGCAUCUGUUUAGUCCUGUUCCCGUGACAACAUGACAAGCCUGGAACUCAUGAAUGGAUAGUGUGCCUGGUCCCAUAUACACAGCCUUUGUUGACUCCUACUUUACGCUACACCGUGAAUCGGGGAAGGAUUUUUAUUCCCAUACCAGGAUAUUUAUCCUCCCACAGAGUAUAAUUCAGUGACUGUUAGAGUGGAGUCCAGGUAAUGUGGCCACCAUCACUAAUCCUAGACUGACCCCAUCGCUCCUAAAAGAAACCUCAUUUCCAUCUGUAGACUCUCCCAUUUCCCUUUCUUCUUCUCUUCCAUAUCUUGAGGAGACCUCAGCUCAACUUUAUGUCCCCCUGUUGAGAGGAAGUCCCUCUCUCUCUUCCUUUCCUUCUUCCCUUUCUUCCAGUCUCUCUCUUUCAUUCUCUCCCCUCUUCCAUUUCUCUUUCUGUCCCUCCCCUCUCCCUCCUUUUCUUUCUUUUCCCUGUCCCUCCCUCCUUCCCUACUCCCCUGAAUUCCCCUCAUUCAAUUUUUCUUUCCUUCUCGAUAGCCCUCCCUUUUGGUCUUUCAUUUCCUUCCCCUCCCUUCCUAUAUCCUUCUCUCCCCUCCUUUUUCCUGCCCCCCUCCCUCUUUCUCUCUCCUUCCUUCUUUCCUGUGCGUAAAGCCAGGAGCCUAGAAGGGCAGCUUAUCUCAGGCAGGAGGCCAGGGUGCUUUCAGCCCUGUCUCCUUUUUCCUCCUGCAUUGCUGGUGAGGAUCAGCUGGCCACGCUCCUUCCUGGAAUGUGCAUGAUGAUAAUUGCCUCCUGCACAAUUAUCUGCCAAGCCCUGUCGGUAAUGAAAUGAAUGAUUUAGUUAUCCUUGUUAGGAAUAGCCCACAAAGCACAGAAAGAAACUCAUUACUGCAGCCACGAAGCAGGCAGGAAUGCCCUCGGAGGCACCUGUGAGUGGCUUUUACAAUUAGCUCUCUCUGCUCUGCCAGAGACCACAGCCCCCACCCAGCCCCCACCAUGCACCAAGUGCUGGAAGCAUCUAAAGGGAACCAAUAAGCAAGGCCAGGGCUAAGGCUCAGCUGCGGAGCUUGCCGGACAAACACAGGGCCUUGGGCCUGAAGUCCAACUCUGCAACAACUGUGAGGCUAGGCCGGGCUUCCUGUCUGGCAGCUUUGACCCACAUAUCAUGAAGCUGCUUUCUCCCAGUGCGUGGGGGCUAUUACUUGAAGCUUCGUGGUGACACAGUGCAAAGCCACUAGGGUUCUGGGGGAAGCUGGUUUGGCCAGAUAGAGGCAGGGCUCAAGUGGGCACAUCCUACCCAUGUUCCCAUCUCCCACUGCCUCUCUGGAUGCUUUCCGUUUCCAGUCAUGGCUCAGACAGCCACUCUACCCUAAAGGUCUCAGGGAGUAGUCCGUGAGAAGUGGUCUGCAUCAGGCCAGAACUGGAAUGGUGGAGGGCUUUCCAAUCUCUAAGUGAAGCAGAGUUUUUAAUUAGCAACUUACAAAAAUAAUGAUGAAACAAAUGGACUGACCAGAUUCUGUAAGAGGAACAUAAUUGCAGAUUCCACCGGGGUUAACAAGACAGGGUCGGCCCCUAACAAUUUCUGCUGUGUCCAGAGAGGCUGUCCACAGGACCUGAGAGGCACAGCCUUACAUAACAUUGAGACUGAGGAAGAUGAAUUGUGAAUCAAUGAGAGAGGGUACAUGGCGGUAUCCCUAAGAAGAAACUUCUCUGGGCAAUGCCAGCAUGUGCCCAGUAAAAGAUGGGGACAAAGCUCAGACUGGCUCUGUCAUCCUUGCUGCCACAACCAUUUUUUAAGGUUUUUUGAAAAUCACCAGUGGAACUCUUCUAUGGCAAUGAGGGCUUGGGAGGGGGGAGGACAGACUUUUCCUCAUAUUUGCAUUGGAGUGAGGACCGUUUCCCCAGGGUCCUUUGUUCUCAAAGAGACUGCUGAGGUAUGUAUCCCAAAGGUUAGAAAACCCUUGCUUUGGUCUUAAUGAAGGAUAGUUAUCAGGAAGAAAAGAAAGAAGGACAGAAGGAAGGACAGAAGGAAGGAAGGAAGGAAGGAAGGAAGGAAGGAAGGAAGGAAGGAAGAAAGGAAGGAAAGAAGGAAGGAAGGAAGGGAAGCAGGAAGGAAGGGAAGCAGGAAGGUGGGAGGGAGGAAGGGAAGGAGAGAGAAAGGGUGGAGAGGAGAGGGGUGAAGGAAGGGGCAAAGAGACGAGAGGAGGAAGAGGAAAUAGAGAAAGGAGGGAGAAAGGGUGGGAAUGGAGGAGAGACGGAUGGAGAAAGGUGGGAGAAUGAUGAGAGGAUGAAGGAAAGGAGGGAGGAGGAGACAGGGAGGAGAAGGAAGGGAGGGAGGAGGAAGGGGAGGGGGAUGGAGAGAGAGGGAAGGUUUUUUUUAUGGCUACUUGCACUGGAUUAUUGUCAGAUCCAAUAGGAAAAGGACUAUUUUGAAUGGGAUAGAUAAAGGCCGCCUCUUUUGCACAGCAAGGCUGAUUAUUAUCCACCCUGCAGGACAGCCCCUGGCCCGAUGAGCACAGUGCACCCCACUUAUCAAGUAUGUGGUUCUGCCCUCCAGGCUGUCUGGACCUAAAUCCCAGUCCUGCCCCUUACAAGCUGUGUAUUGCUGGGCAAAGUCUAUUAUACCAUUCUGUGCUGCAUUUCGCUCAUUAGCAAAGGUUUUGUGCAUACAAUUUCUAGUUCUCCACCUCGGGAGGAACCAUGUCUUUCCUGGGGAUCCCAGGGGCGGCUUGACUCAUUCAGCAUUGAGGCAGGUGAUCCAGAAUCUCCACACAGACUGCAGUGUUGUUCUAAGCAGGCUUGGGGCUGAAGCAUCAGUGUCUUUCUACUGUUGUUUGGGGUAGAGAAGAGUUCGAGGGUGGCGUCUAAGUCAAACUUCCUUCUCAGGUAUCUUCAGGACUGGCUGCAAAGUCCUCCUCUGUGCCCUAGCAGGACUGCUCCUCCCUUGGAGGGUGGGGAGGUCAAAAAGCCUGCCAUUGAAUUCCUGUCAGAAAUAGUCCCUGUUUCCCUUACUAUGGGAAACCAAUUGGUUACUGAGCUACCAUGGGCUUCAUCCAAGCAGAGGUUCUAGGUUAUAUCCAUACAUGAUAAAACAGGGUCAGAUGAAAGGGGAGGAGGUCCUCCCCAAUCAGUGGACUUGAAAAGGGGCAGGGAGAAGAUGAGGGAGGGUUUGGGAGGGAAUGAGGGAGUGGGAUACAGCUGGGAUACAGAGUUAAUAAAGUGUAACUAAUAAUAAAUAAAUAAGGAAAGAAAGAAAGAAAGAAAGAAAGAAAGAAAGAAAGAAAGAAAGAAAGAAAGAAAGAAAAAGAUUGAACAAGGUAAAACAACAACAACAACAAAAAUCAACUUCCUCUCAGUCUGGGAUACCAUCAGUUAGACACACCUCUCCCUAGUGUGGAUGGCCCACAAGACUAUGGGAACACGUAGAGAGGGGUCAGUGAGCACCUCUUUCCCAACAGACAUGACUCCAGUUCUUGAUCCAACCUGCUUUCCCUAGAGUAAAGAUGUUUGCCUUCCAAGAGCAGUACCUCCAGGAUUUAGUCCCGAGAUGCCAGCAUCAGGCUGUUCAAUGUAUGCAGUGGCCAACCGGCACAGGGAAUUUGCAGCCCACUCUCUGAUCAGACUUUGGGCAGUCCUGACAAUGAUUGCCAUGGGUUGGGAAGGGAACAAUGGUGUGUGUGGGGGUUGUCUUUGUUGCAGAUAAGCAAUGGUCUUAGGUUAACUUGUAGCAGGAAGUAAGAGAGGAAGCAAGAGCAUUUCAGACAUGUAGAAAUGGUUAGUGAGUACCAGGAAACGAGAGGGUCAGACUGGUCCAUGUGCAGAACAGUAUAUGAAUCUUCGGUGUGUGUGUGUGGUGGUGGGGUUCUGGGUAGAGCAAGGGCCAGCUAGAAACACUAUCUGAAUAAUUUAAGUGUGAUCCUUUAGGGUAGACAGCGGCACAUGAUAGGUGAAGAAGGGUGCAAGGGCUUGUCUUCUGAUUGCAGGCCAGCCAAGGAUCUUUCCAGACAAUGUCAUGGGCAGGGCAGGACAGAGCCAAGGGGUGACUGCAAAUGCAGUGUGUGCCCGUGUGUAUGUGUGUGUGUGUGCACGACCCAGAGUGUGGCAGCCACUGUCUUUUCUUGUCUUGAGGUCUCUUCAUUGUCUUGGCCCCAGGUGUGGAAGCUGGAACAUUCUCUGUUGGGUGUUUACAGAGCCAAAGUACAAGUCUGUCAGAAGGAGAAACUGAGGCACUCUUUUGUAAAGAGGCCAAUGGGAGGAGAUGUCCUGGGGGUACUGUGGACCCAGUUGCAGGUGUCAGCAGCCUGGGUGACUUAAUUCAGCGGGUUGGUUUCCAAACUGGGCUAUUUUUCCUUUGUCUUUGUAAAAAGAGGAGUGUGCAUUGUCCCCUGGAGAGCUGUUUAGACAUCCAUUUUAAUCUGAGCUCUUUGGGUGCAGGUUGAGGGGGGUGGGGUGGAAGGAAGGUUUGAUUUGAGUUUGCAGUGACUCCAGCUUUUCUUCAGACUGUUGGUGCAGGGGGAGCUAGAGGAGAAAUAAGGACUCCUUGGAUUGAGAAGGAGAUGCCUAACCCUUCAUCUCGGGAGAAAGAGACAGGGAGAAAAGAGACCCAAACCUGAGACAGGAAGGAGGAGCCUAAGCUGCGACAAGGAGAGUUCCAUGUGAUGCCUCGUGCACACUGCUUCUGUUUUGAUUAUUUGUUUGUUUGUUUGUUUUAAUUUUGAGACAAGACCUUUUCCAUGGACCCCAGGUCAGCCUUAAGUUCAUGUCAACCUGGUCAGAGCACCUUUGCUAAGAGAGGACUUUUUAAGACUGCAGGCACUAGGACGGCAGAAGACGGUCCACCUCUGUGUGGCGCUGUCCACUCAGAGCUGCUGCUGACCCCGUCCUCUGCUCCUUUGCUGUCUCUUAUUCUCUUUGACUGUAAGAAAAGCAGGAUGUAGAGCGAAAGUGGACAUAGAUGGCUUUGGGGACUGCGGUGUGUGUGUGUGUGUGUGUGUGUGUGUGUGAAGGGGUUGGGGCUUACACCAAAGCACAGAAUCCGAGAGUUUCUGGGCAAGGUGACGUCGUCGGGCAAGGUCCUGAGUCAGGGCGGAGGAUGCUCCAUCAGACGCCUGUCGGCCCGCACAGCUGGAGCAGCAAUCAUAGCUGCACUCACUGAGGAGCCAAGAGCAGCCCCUGGAAGGAGUAAGUAAAGCAAUGGGGGGAAUCAGAAGGCUUGGUGGGAGGUGGAAGGAGCCAGGGCUGCUCAGUCACAGCUGGCCUUAAUGUAGGAAACAAGAGGGAGAUGGAAGAGAGAUUAUCUCUGUGCCUACCUUUCUCUGUCCUCCACCCCCUACUUGAUAUUUCUCUCGCUGGAACUCUCCCACUUCGAAGCCACUGCUAGAGGCUGGAAAUACCAAAGGUGUGAACACAGCGACCUAUGGGGCCACAGCGUAUGGGUGGUGGGUGUCUGGUGUUCCAAAGCAAGCCUGCCUGGAUCCCUGUGGCCAUGCCAGAGAGAUGGGGAGGAGAUCUCAGGUUCAUAGACCCACAGAGGGAGGCAGGAAGUGCAGGCAGCAAGGGUUUAGACAAGAUGCAGAUCCUGUUUCUACUUACAGGUGCUCGCUUGGCAUACCCUGGAAAGCUGUGGCAUACACAUGCCUGGGGCCUCAGGAAACAAAGGUAUCCGGUACAGCUGGGUGUUGGCCCCAGGACCUGGCUCCUCGGGCUCCUCGGGCUCCUCGGGCUCCUCGGGCUCCUCACUCCUCAUCCAUGCGCCCUCAUAGAGGGGUGUCUGAACUUCCAGGAGACAGGGUUGGAUAAAGAAGGCCUCAAGAAUGGACACCUUCUCGGCUCCCUCUCUGGGUCUUUCUUCUGUAAGAAGCUGCAUCUGCUCCCCUUCUAGUGUUUCUGCCAUCAUGCUCUUCACCUGGUGGACCUGCGUGCUCUGGCUGAGAAGGAUCAGGUUGUGGCUGUCACUGCCCGUGCAUUCCUCCAUCUCUUCAUCAAGCAUCCCUUAUAGAUGGCUUUCAAAGCAGCCAUUGCUUUUCCAUGUAUCCUAGCCUCAUUAUCCUUUGCUUCAGCUUCCACCCGCAGACAUCUUCAAGAGACACUGGAAGAUGCGGACUUAAAGAGUAGGACCAGGGACCAGGACUAACACAGCUGUCCUCAUGGAGACGUGGGCAGAGGGCAGCAUAGCCCUCAGCAGAUCCUCAGAACUGCACUUCAUUGGAUAAACCAUCUCCUCCCUUCUGGAAUUCAGGAGGAAUGAAAUGGACUGAGGCUUCAUACCCAUGUCUCACGUGGAUUUAUAACUACUUGCUAACCUCUUGCCUCUACUAUAGUCCUUUAAUGAAAGGGUCUGUUUUGUUUUCAGUGGUCACUGUACUUGGCACCCACCUCCUCUCAACAGAUGUGUCUCCAGGGCUGGGAUUCUGCAACUGGUGGCCAUGACUGGUAAAGAACCCUGGAUGUAGACGAAGCCAAGGAUGGCUUGCUAUCUGACCUGCAGUAGAAACUUGCUUGGUUUGUGAUAUGGCUAUCAACAGCUACUCCCCAUGCCUCACAUAGCUUUUGGCUUAUCACCAUCUGUCUGUGCAUCUCUGUAGUUGUUUGAUUCCAUGGUAUGUUAUUUGGAUGAGAGAAAUGGCCAUGUGCGUUAGUCAGAAUUGUUUUCUGUCAACGUGUGGAUUUCUCAGUUUUGUUCACUCAUCCCUUCUAUAAAUAUUGGCAAAUAAAAUCAUCUA